rnacentral:rRNA from 1 species
UUAAACUGAAGAGUUUGAUCAUGGCUCAGAUUGAACGCUGGCGGCAGGCUUAACACAUGCAAGUCGAGCG